CUGAUCCUAAUGUCACUGACUCUGCCUAUUCCUCUUCCAACUCAUCCACCUCCUCCUUGAAUGUGGGGGCCAAGAUGGGAAAUCUUCCUGACCUCAGGGAAUCCAAGAGAACUAAUCCUCGUCACUUCCCACUGGAGGACCCCUUAAAUUUACUUUCUGGACACAAUUUUAGGGGACCACACAACUUUGGUCAAAGAGAGCCUGAACACUGGGGGGAGUGUGGAGGGGGUCACAAGAAGCUCCCAGCUAUCUCCAGCUCCAUGGAAGAGAGAGAAAUCCCUUCUUCCUUGCCUGGACUUCAAGACACAGAGUCAGAUAGUUUGAUGAAUGACAUUUCCCCGCAACCUGCUUUUCAAUGUGGGAAUAUGAAUGGAGAACAUGGAUGUUCUCCUCCUGAAGGGGGGAUGAUAGAUCAACAGGAUCCUCUUGGUUGGACCACACAGCCUGAAGGAGAUGUUCCACUGGAAAAUCACCAGCCCGACUUACCUUAUGACAUGGAAAAUGGUGACGGGAGUGUUGACCUCCCAGGCCCUGAGGAUUGUCCAUCAUCUCUGCCCCUUCCCCUCUCUGAGGACUGCUCCUUCCAGGAUUCCUCAAGUGAAAACUCUUCCAUGUGCUUCAGCUUGAGCGAAUCCCGCUCCGAGUCCCCUCCACCAAAUUUGCCCUUGACUAACGGGGACGCUGAUGGAGAAAUGCUGGAGACUAAGAAAGGGCCAAAGAGAGCAAACAGGCUUGACCCAAUCCCUAAGCACAAACUGGGGGGCCGGUUCAGGCCUCGCACUGACAACAGGCCCGAAAACGGCCCCUCGCGCAUACCCACCCCCGUCAGCUACAGAGACCUGCAGGCGAACAACACUCUUUCCCCCUGCCACACCCCACCGCUGUCUCCUCAGAGCUCCCAUCCUACCAGUCGCCAAGCCACAUGCAAGGGCCUGCACCAGGCCUUCGCUGAUAUGAUCCAUCCUCAUCCUCGUUCCUCAGCCAUGGGCAACAAAGACUGCGCCUACCCUACACAGUCAGGCAGCGUGGACACUGAAGCUUGGAUGUAGCACAAAACGAAACUGUGGGUAGUACACGGGAGGGGGUUGUUGUCAUGAACUUUAACUACUGUGUUUAAAAAAGAGAAAACAAAAAAACCCAACAAGAUAAAAAUGGGCUACAGACAGUUUUUACUGCAUGUCAAACGCUCCUUUUUUUCUCCAUUUAGGUUCUCCCCUGAAUAACUGCAGGGCUUCACAUUGCUUUUUUUGCACUCAAG
rnacentral:lncRNA from 1 species